rnacentral:lncRNA from 1 species
UCAAAACAGUUUUAGCUAAAUAAAAUAUGUCUUUGUUAUGUUUUGUCUAGCUCAUUCCACAAGUAAUGGAAUUAGGCUAUGUUGAUUCUAGUAUGGAAAAUGAAGACGACUUGGCAAGAGUUUUUAGUGCUUGUCCAUUGCCCUCCUCUGGUUUUCAGUUCUCUAACUGUACACAGCUUUCAGAAGAAAAUUUCAACACAAAACUAAUGGGCAAUGUUUGGGAACAGAUCUAUGAAAAAAAGCUGCAAAACCAGCUCAUUGCCUACCCCCAGGCCAGACUACAUGAAUUCUGCCAGGAAAAAUCCAGUGAUAAUAGCCAGUAAUGAAUCAGAAAACUAUGAAGGAAUAAAAGAACCAAUAUUUGAUGUUGUGAAAGAAACUGCAGGAUUGAAAGAUGGAAGUGGUUGUUCCUUUCUGGCACUAUUUGAAGAAGAGAGUCAACCAAUCCAUAAUAAUUCUUCCACCAAGCAUUUUAAUUUUUUUUCUAACCAAAGGAAUAAUGACCUUUUUUUCACUGUUCCUGAUGUUCGAAAUCAAAUUACCAACAGAAAUUAUUCUUGCAACACUAGAAGGGUUUAUCCUGGAAUCAAUGCAAAAGAAGAUUCUGUAGACAGACACCUUGAAGGCAUUUUCACAGCUCCAGAACAGGUUUUCCUUAAAAGUAAUAAUGUGUCAAGUACAAGCUACAAGGAAACAAGUGCACUUCAUAAAACACACCGGCAGAACUGUCAUGAGGGACAGCACUACUUCGUGCCCUGUGAACAGAGAGAAAGAAGAGCAAACCUUGAAAAAAUUGGUGCGUGUCAUAUUUUAAGGACAUGUAUUCUAGGUUUUAUUCUCCUUUUAAAGAUAGAUGUUCUUAUAACCAGAGAUGUAUCUGCCCCAACUGAAAACAUCAUGAAUCUUCAGAAUGCAGUCACGUAA